UACGUAGGUGUCGAGCGUUAUCCGGAAUUACUGGGCGUAAAGGGCACGCAGGCGGCUGUUCAAGUCUGACGUAAAAACUCCCGGCUUAACUGGGAGAGGCCGUUGGAAACUGAGCAGCUUGAGGCAAUGAGAGGGAUGCGGAAUUCCCGGUGUAGUGGUGGAAUGCGUAGAUAUCGGGAAGAACACCAGUGGCGAAAGCGGCAUCCUGGCAUUGAACUGACGCUCAUGUGCGAAAGCGUGGGUAGCGAACGGGAUUAGAUACCCCGGUAGUCCACGCUGUAAACGAUGUGAACUAGGUGUAGGUGGUAUUGACCCCAUCUGUGCCGAAGCAAACGCGAUAAGUUCACCGCCUGGGGAGUACGGCCGCAAGGCUA
rnacentral:rRNA from 1 species